GCGGCAGUACCCCAGUUGGUAGAGGGACGGGCACCGUGAAGGCCAUUGUCAGUCGGUGUCUAUGAUGUCGCUGGUUCGAGUCCAGCCUGCCGCA
rnacentral:tRNA from 1 species